GAUAAACGCUGGCGGCGUGCCUAACACAUGCAAGUCGAACGAUCCCGCAAGGGAGAGUGGCGGAAGGGUGAGUAACACGUGGGAAUCUACCUCCUCGCAGGGAACAACCUCUCGAAAGAGAGGCUAAUACCCAAAAGGGUCAGAAAUGAUCAGAGUCGAAAGGCGUGAGGAGAGGAGCCCGCGGCCCAUCAGCUAGUUGGUGAGGUAAUGGCUUACCAAGGCUACGACGGGUAGGGGAUCUGAGAGGAUGUCCCCCACACUGGAACUGAAACACGGUCCAGACGCCUACGGGUGGCAGCAGUGAGGAAUAUUGGACAAUGGGCGAAAGCCCGAUCCAGCAACGCCGCGUGGAGGAUGAAGGCCUUCGGGUCGUAAACUUCUUUAGAGGGGAGACGAGAAAGGACGGUAUCCCUAGAAUAAGCGACGGCAAACUAACGUGCCAGCAGCCG
rnacentral:rRNA from 1 species